AUGCUAAAGAGGAUAUUACAAUAUUGCAGAAUGUUCACUGACAUUUCUCACAUUCUCCACUUUUCAGCAGAAAAUAAGAAGAGAAUGAAGAAGGAGAACCAGAGCAGCGUGUCAGAGUUCCUCCUCCGGGGGCUCCCCAUCCUGCCAGAACAACAGGGCAUAGUCUUUGCCCUGUUCCUGGGCAUGUACCUCACAACAGUGCUGGGCAACCUGCUCAUCGUCCUGCUCAUCAGGCUGGACCCUCGCCUCCACACCCCCAUGUACUUCUUCCUCAGCCACCUGGCCUUCACUGACGUCUCCUUUUCAUCUGUCACCAUCCCUAAGAUGCUGAUGAGCAUGCAGACUCAGCAACAAUCCAUCCCCUACGUGGAGUGCAUUUCCCAGAUGUAUUUUUUCAUACUUUUUGGCUGUCUUGACAACUUCCUUCUUGCAGUGAUGGCAUAUGACAGGUAUGUAGCCAUAUGUCAGCCACUUCACUACACCACUGUCGUGAGGCAGGAGCUGUGUAUCUCAUUGGUAGCUGUGUCCUGGUUCUUCUGUUGUAUCCAUGCCCUGUUGCACACCCUCCUCUUGGUCCAACUGUCCUUCUGUGCUGAAAAUACCUUCCCCAACUUCUUCUGUGACCUCCCUGCCCUCCUGAAGAUGAGCUGCUCAGACCUUUCCAUCAAUGAGCUGGUCAUCUUUACUGAAGGAGGAAUGCUGUUCAUCUUGCCUCUGAGUAGCAUCUUGGGCUCAUAUGUUCGUAUAGGGACCAUCGUCCUGAGGGUCCCGUCCACUAAGAGACUCUUUAAAGCCUUCUCCACUUGUGGCUCUCAUCUCUUUGUGGUAUCUUUAUAUUAUGGGACACUUGCCGGUGUUUACUUUUUCUCCUCAUUAUGGGACUCCAAUGACAAAUACAUAGUUGCUUCAGUCAUAUAUGCAGUAGUUACGCCCAUGCUGAACCCCUUUAUCUAUAGCCUCAGAAACAGAGACAUCAAACAAGCCCUACAAAUAUUUCUCAACAGGGCUAACUUCUUGAAAUGA
rnacentral:lncRNA from 1 species